ACAAGGCACUGCAGAACUCUCAGGAUAAGUAGUUCUGGAACACUGUAAACACAGAAUACAGCCCACUGGUUGGGGCAUCAGAAUUCCUGUGGGGGUGCCCCGAGUAGCAGUCACAGAGAGGGGCCUUCGCUAAGCUGCUUUCAAUCCAGUCCACCUUUUUUUUAGCAUCUCCUUCAUGCCAGGCACUGUGUGGAGAGAUGGUGCUACAGAGGUAAACUAAUCCAGCUACAGUCCUUGCCUUCAUGGGCUUUCAGCAAAGUAAUCUACUCCUCACACUUAAUUCUCCUGAGAAGGCUUCCUGGAUACACUUGAGAAUGAACUCCACUUUGGUUAUACAGACACAUGGAACUCCAUCACUGCUGUUGCUGAGAAAAUAUCAAUGGCUACAUUAUUUUCAACUGCUGCCUAUGAGUUAUAUCAGAGAUUAAUUGAUCAGCUAAAUGAGAAAAUGCAGAGAAUACACAAGGAAUAAAUCGAUGAAGGAAAAAGUGUGCUGUGUCUUCUAUACCUGGGAUCAAUUGUGUUAC
rnacentral:lncRNA from 1 species